UACGGAAGGCAGCAGUGGGGAAUAUUGCACAAUGGGCGAAAGCCUGAUGCAGCUAUGCCGCGUGUAUGAAGAAGGCCUUAGGGUUGUAAAGUACUUUCAUCGGGGAGGAAAAAACAAAACUAAUAAUUUUAUUUCUUGACGUUACCCGAAAAAGAAGCACCGGCUAACUCCGUGCCAGCAGCCGCGGUAAUACGGAGGGUGCUAGCGUUAAUCAGAAUUACUGGGCGUAAAGAGCACGUAGGUGGUUUUUUUAAGUCAGAUGUGAAAUCCCUGGGCUUAACCUGGAACUGCAUUUUGAAACUGAAAUACUAGAGUAUCGUAGAGGGAGGUAGAAUUCUAGGUGUAGCGGUGAAAUGCGUAGAUAUCUGGAGGAAUACCUGUGGCGAAAGCGGCCUCCUAAACGAAUACUGACACUGAGGGUGCGAAAGCGUGGGGAGCAAACAGGGAUUAGAUACCCGU
rnacentral:rRNA from 1 species